AUCAGCAGGUGUGUGUGUGUCUGUGUGUUUCACCCUCAGCAGGUGUGUGUGCGUCUGUGUUUCACCCUCAGCAGGUGUGCGUGUGUGUGUGUGUGUGCGUGUGUGUGUGUGUGUGUGUGUGUUUCACCCUCAGCAGGUGUGUGUGUGUGUGUGUGUGUUUCACCCUCAGCAGGUGUGUGUGUGUCUCACCCUCAGCAGGUGUGUGUGUGUCUCACCCUCAGCAGGUGUGUGUGUCUCACCCUCAGCAGGUGUGUAUGUGUGUGUGUGUCUCACCCUCAGCAGGUGUGUGUGUCUCACCCUCAGCAGGUGUGUAUGUGUGUGUGUGUCUCACCCUCAGCAGGUGUGCUCUUAACAUCAGUGUCUGGCUCCAGUUCCAUACUUUUCAUUGGGAGAUGCAUUUGCUUUGGCAUCAGUCGAGAAGCUUC